CUGGAUUCGCUAGUAAUCGCGCAUCAGCCACGGCGCGGUGAAUACGUUCCCGGGCCUUGUACACACCGCCCGUCAAGCCAUGGGAGCCGGGGGGUACCUGAAGUGCGUAACCGCGAGGAUCGCCCUAGGGUAAAACUGGUGACUGGGGCUAAGUCGUAACAAGGUAUC
rnacentral:rRNA from 1 species